rnacentral:tRNA from 1 species
GAGGGUAUAGCUCAAGUGGUAGAGCGCAUGCUUAGCAUGCACAAAUCUUGGAUUCAAUCCCCAGUACCUCCU